UCCCCAGUAGCUCAAUGGUGGAGCAACCGGCUGUUAACCGGUAGGUUGUAGGUUCGAGCCCUACCUGGGGAG
rfam:Caldanaerobius fijiensis DSM 17918 genome assembly, contig: EJ21DRAFT_scaffold00024.24